CUCAUUCCGAAUCACAAAGCGUGUGCAAGAUCUUCGAAAUUUCCAAGUUUUCGUAGUGUUUCCGCCGCGAAAGUGCCCGAAUAUGGUUCCGGUAAUCGCCGUAAGUAAAAAGUGUGCAUUGAAAAGGACAGCCGUAACAGAAAAAAGCAGUCAAUAACUUAACUCCUUAAAGGAUUGUGGUUGUGGAUCCAAAGAUGCAGCAACUUGAUACCAAAGGGAAACAAAACUAUACUUUAUAGGUCAUCAUGACCGUCAGCUCAUGUAAAAUUUUGUUAAUUUUUGUAGAGCUGGCUUUUGCCAUAUUUGCAACAACCACGACAAAAGCUGUUGAUGUUAAAAUUUCAACAACUCUCAACAAAGUCUCUUUGGGAUGCCAAAUGUUGGGAUGUUUCCAGCAUCCGGAAUGGUUCAUCUGCCUUCUCAUAAAAUGGUUCUGCCUCCUGGAAUGGCUCAUUCAUCACCCGGAGUGUUGGCUUCUCCCGGAAUGUUGGCUUCUCCUGGAAUGUUGGCUUCUUCCGGGAUUGUUGGUUUCAUACCAGUGCCUCAACAGCAAAAGUUUCAGCUUAUACCGAUUCCUCAGUCGCAAAUGAUUCCACCGACUUCGUCUGUUGCGCUUAUGGCAAACAAUGAGGAUUGGAACCGAAAAUAGGACUUGCUUUAUUAGAUCGAAAUUCAGAUGAAAGUUUGAAAUCAUGCAAACUAAAUCUUCAAGCUUACGUACAAUACUCAUCAGCUACAUUACUCAGAAAGUGACAUUCAAAAAUUCAUUUUGUAAUUAUUAAAAAUUUGACAAUAUAAAUCAAACUCAAAUUCUCUUUACCCCUCACUUUAAACAUACUAUACAUUCAUUCGUUACUCAGAAUCAUCAUUCGUUCGUCUGCUUUGUAUGCAACCGUCCAAUCAGA